GAAUAAGGGGCUGUGAAAUCACUUCUGGCUGUUGGGCAUCACAUUCCCCAUGAUGGCUGCGGGAGAGAUGAUGGGAUGCUGGGGAAGUUGCAGGACUAAUCUUCCAGACUGGAAUUAGGAAGGGAGUGGUUUGAAGCCUCUGCAUCUAAUCACCAGGUCCAGACCACACUGGGCUGACUCAGCACAUGGCACAAUGGCAAGGGGUUGGCAGGCCUGCACUUGGGAAAAGACACACAGAACUGGGAUGCCUGCCUUCAUAUCUGUCAUCAAAAAUUGGGCAGCAGAAGGAGCAAACACAUCUGGUAGCUACUUCGGACAAUAAAACCCGGAAAGAUGCAAGUUCCAAGGGUUUCCCUGGCCAAGGAAAAAAUAAAUAGAAGGAAGAAAAAAGAGAAUCUGCCCUUCACUCAUCUCUUCUGCAAGGAGAAAUUUGCAAGCAUCACACUUUCUAGCCUGUGGCUCAGUUCUGUGAUUGUCUUUUGAAUUCUCAGUAUCAUUCUUCAUCAUCCAAGAAAUGCAAACUCUAGACCAAGAAGUCCAUUCUUACAAUUAUCUUUACCACCACUGUCUCCAAAUACCUACUGUAUUUGUAUACACACUGUUUUACAAGCCUUUUUUGUUUUCCUUAAUAAAUACAAUGCUGAAAAUCUUGUGUGGAUAGACUCUGAACAUUCAGGAAUUGGUGUUCUGAGCUUUUCAGGACAGGACCCUUCACACUUAACUGGUUUUCACACUUCUCAGAGGUGUUAGUUUCGAGUCUACUGUAACAUGACUGUUAAACCAGUAAGAUCACUUUGUGAUUCUUAAA